rnacentral:rRNA from 1 species
AUUCCGUCAGUAACUGCGAGUGAAGCCGGAAGAGCUCAGACUGAAAAUCUUCGGAGUUGUAGUCUGGAGAGGUAGCGCCAGUGGGGUAAAGACGGGCAAAGUGUUGUGGAAUCAACCGCCGAGGAGGGUGAAAGCCCCGUUCAUGCCUGAAAUUUGCCCCCGUCGGUGCGCCUUCUACGAGUCGAGUUGUUUGGGAUUGCAGCUCUAAGUGGGUGGUAAAUUCCAUCUAAAGCUAAAUAUGGGUGGGAGACCGAUAGCGAACAAGUACCGUGAGGGAAAGAUGAAAAGAACUUUGAAAAGAGAGUUAAAUAGUACCUGAAAUUGCUGAAAAGGAAUCGAUAGGAAGCAGUGUUGGUUCGUCGUCAUCUUCUGGCUCUGCGUGCAGGGUUGGGCGUGGCGGCGGGCAUGUCAGGCUUCUUUGUGUGUGCGGGAAAGGGGGGKGGGUCUUCGGACCUGUCUUUCCUGUCGUGCGUGCGAAGGACCUCUGACGAAAUGCUUCUUAUCAUCCCGUCUUGAAACACGGACCAAGGAGUCUAACAUGUGUGCGAGUACUCGGAGUGAGACCUCCCAGUGCGUAAUUAACGUAAAGACAGGGCAACCUGUUGAGGUAGGAAGCGCAAGCUGCACUAUCGACCGACACUGAUCCUUCGGGUGAAGAGUUUGAGUGUGAGCAUACCUGUUGGGACCCGAAAGAUGGUGAACUAUGCCUGAGUAGGCCGAAGCCAGGGGAAACUCUGGUGGAGGGCCGUAGCGGUUCUAACGUGCAAAUUGAUCGUCGAACUUGGGUAUAGGGGCGAAAGACUAAUCGAACCAUCUAGUAGCUGGUUCCUCCCGAAAUUUCCCUCAGGAUAGCUGCAACCGAACAGUUUUAUCAGGUAAAGCGAAUGAUUAGUGGACUUGGGGGCAUUUUGCCCUUGACCAAUUCUCAAACUUUAAAUGGGUAAGAGCCCUGGGUUGCUUAAUUGAACCCGGCGGUUGAAUGACGGUUGCUAGUGGGCCAAUCCGGGUAAGCUGGAUUGGCGAUGCGGGAUGCUCCGAACGUCAAGUUAAAGUGCCAAAGUAUUCGCUAACCUAGAACCCACAAAAGGUGUUGGUUCAUUAAGACAGCAGGACGGUGGCCAUGGAAGUCGGAACCCGCUAAGGAGUGU